GUGCUUGAAAUCAUAGAUUGCUGUGUUCCAGAGCAUCAAGACCGUGAUCGAAGGGUCAAUUGUGACUGAAUUACUGAGCUACUAAUAAUAUUAAGUAGUUAUUUAUAAGUCAAGGUUACUCUAAAUCACUCUCGACUCGCCUUAAAAGUCAUCUGCAAUGUGGAACGUCCAACAAUUCAUUGACACAGUUGUGACUGACUCCUUCAUAGCCGUCGGCCAGCUCUUUCACAUCCACCAUCUAAUUGAAGUGAAAGGACAGAAAUGUUGAAAGUGUGUUUUCUGCAGCACCAGUAAGGACCGUUCUCCUAUGAUGUAGUCGACCCUAUCAGAAAACAUUUACUCACUUUUUGCUUUUAUACAAAAAAACAUGCCAUUUCUCCAUUUUGGUGAAAAGUGGGCCAUUAGCUAAACCACAACCUUCCUGUCCAAAGACCUUCAUGAACUACUGAAACUAUAUCUGACAGUUUGGGGAGGAAUUCAUUCUAACGGGUGAAAAUGAACCAGGUCUUUUCUGUGUAUGUGCCGGUCUUUAAGCAUAAAUGUAAAUAUAUAAAAUAUACUAAUAAUGCAUAUAGUCUCUGGUUAUCGGUGAUACUUCCCAUUCUGCACAAUUGUGACCUUUGACCCCUUGCACGUGGUCUUAAAUGUCCACAUUCUGGAUGACAUCCUGCCAGACUUUGUUGGUAUUUCACUGUUUGAUCUAGCAUGUGACUGUUUUUCCCCCCCAGCACUUGUCCCAUGUUGGCUGGCCUACUAUGCAGUUAAAUGGAAAGGUUUUUCCCCAGCACUUGUCCCAUGUUGGCUGGCCCACUAUGCAGUUAAAUGGAAAGGUUUUUCCCCAGCACUUGUCCCAUGUUAGCUGGCCCACUAUGCAGUUAAAUGGAAAGGUUUUUCCCCAGCACUUGUCCCAUGUUGGCUGGCCUACUAUGCAGUUAAAUGGAAAGGUUUUUCCCCAGCAC
rnacentral:lncRNA from 1 species